rnacentral:rRNA from 1 species
CCUACGGGCGGCAGCAGUGGGGAAUAUUGCGCAAUGGGCGAAAGCCUGACGCAGCGACGCCGCGUGAGGGAUGAAGGUCUUCGGAUCGUAAACCUCUGUCAGCAGGGAAGAACGGUCACUGUGCUAAUCAGCAGUGAAUUGACGGUACCUGCAAAGGAAGCACCGGCUAACUCCGUGCCAGCAGCCGCGGUAAUACGGAGGGGGCGAGCGUUAAGCGGAAUUACUGGGCGUAAAGCGCUCGUAGGCGGUAUGUCAAGUCAAGGGUGAAAUCCCCGCGCUCAACGUGGGAACUGCCUUUGAAACUGGCAAACUGGAGUGUGUGAGAGGAUAGUGGAAUGCCAGGUGUAGGAGUGAAAUGCGUAGAUAUCUGGAGGAACAUCAGUGGCGAAGGCGACUAUCUGGCACAUAACUGACGCUGAGGAGCGAAAGCGUGGGUAGCAAACAGGAUUAGAUACCCCAGUAGUC